rnacentral:rRNA from 1 species
CGCUGGAGCAUCCUGAGCGGCGAGUGGCGAACGGGUGAGUAAUACAUCGGAACGUGUCCUGUAGUGGGGGAUAGCCCGGCGAAAGCCGGAUUAAUACCGCAUACGAUCUACGGAUGAAAGCGGGGGAUCGCAAGACCUCGCGCUAUAGGGGCGGCCGAUGGCGGAUUAGCUAGUUGGUGGGGUAAAGGCCCACCAAGGCGACGAUCCGUAGCUGGUCUGAGAGGACGACCAGCCACACUGGGACUGAGACACGGCCCAGACUCCUACGGGAGGCAGCAGUGGGGAAUUUUGGACAAUGGGCGCAAGCCUGAUCCAGCAAUGCCGCGUGUGUGAAGAAGGCCUUCGGGUUGUAAAGCACUUUUGUCCGGAAAGAAAUCCUCUGGGUUAAUACCCCGGGGGGAUGACGGUACCGGAAGAAUAAGCACCGGCUAACUACGUGCCAGCAGCCGCGGUAAUACGUAGGGUGCGAGCGUUAAUCGGAAUUACUGGGCGUAAAGCGUGCGCAGGCGGUGAUGUAAGACCGAUGUGAAAUCCCCGGGCUUAACCUGGGAACUGCAUUGGUGACUGCAUCGCUGGAGUAUGGCAGAGGGGGGUAGAAUUCCACGUGUAGCAGUGAAAUGCGUAGAGAUGUGGAGGAAUACCGAUGGCGAAGGCAGCCCCCUGGGCCCAUACUGACGCUCAUGCA